UUACAGUCAAUCAACCAAUCAUCAUUUCUUGAUUAGUAUCUGAAAUAGAGUCAUGUGGAACGUUGUUUGGGAAGUCCACAAGUUUCAACUCAUAUCAUUGAUUCAAGAAGUGGAUGAUUGAUUGAUUGAUUGACUGUGUUGUCUACACAAUCAGCGUUUCACAUGAAUCUCUCUUUCAAAUAUUAAUCAAGAAGUGGAUGAUUGAUUGAUUGAUUG